rnacentral:rRNA from 1 species
AACGAACGCUGGCGGCGUGCCUAACACAUGCAAGUCGUGCGAGAAAGUUCCUUCGGGAGCGAGUAAAGCGGCGCACGGGUGAGUAACACGUAGGUAACCUGCCCCCCAGUCUGGAACAACUAGAGGAAACUCUAGCUAAUGCCGGAUGAGACCACGAUCCCCUUCGGGGGUUGCGGCCAAAGAUGGCCUCUACUUGUAAGCUAUCGCUGAGGGAUGGGCCUGCGGCCAUUAGCUUGUUGGUGAGGUAACGGCUCACCAAGGCUGUGAUGGCUAGCUGGUCUGAGAGGAUGACCAGCCACACUGGGACUGAGACACGGCCCAGACUCCGUACGGGAGCAGCAGU